CCUACGGGAGGCAGCAGUGGGGAAUAUUGCACAAUGGGCGCAAGCCUGAUGCAGCCAUGCCGCGUGUAUGAAGAAGGCCUUCGGGUUGUAAAGUACUUUCAGCGAGGAGGAAGGCGUUGAGGUUAAUAACCUUGGCGAUUGACGUUACCCGCAGAAGAAGCACCGGCUAACUCCGUGCCAGCAGCCGCGGUAAU
rnacentral:rRNA from 1 species